UACAGAGGGGGCAAGCGUUGUUCGGAAUUACUGGGCGUAAAGGGCGCGUAGGCGGCCGCCUAAGUCAGACGUGAAAUCCCUCGGCUCAACUGGGGAACUGCGUCUGAUACUGGGUGGCUUGAAUCCGGGAGAGGGAUGCGGAAUUCCAGGUGUAGCGGUGAAAUGCGUAGAUAUCUGGAGGAACACCGGUGGCGAAGGCGGCAUCCUGGACCGGUAUUGACGCUGAGGCGCGAAAGCCAGGGGAGCAAACGGG
rnacentral:rRNA from 1 species